UACAGAGGGGGCAAGCGUUGUUCGGAAUUACUGGGCGUAAAGGGCGCGUAGGCGGCCCGCUAAGUCGAACGUGAAAUCCCCGAGCUCAACUCGGGAACUGCGUCCGAUACUGGUGGGCUUGAAUCCGGGAGAGGGAUGUGGAAUUCCAGGUGUAGCGGUGAAAUGCGUAGAUAUCUGGAGGAACACCAAUGGCGAAGGCAGCUCUCUGGGACGGUACUGACGCUGAGACGCGAAAAGCGUGGGGAGCGAACAGG
rnacentral:rRNA from 1 species